UCACUUGCUUGCCGGUCUAUCAAGGCCGUUGGGAAAUGAAAAUCGUUCCUUUCUGACCGACUGAUAUCUUACGGUCUUGCGGAAUCCAAAAGAUUGCGAACGGGAAAAGGGUGGGUCGAUGGGAUAAAAUAUGGCACCUGGUAUGGACGCAGGUUCCUAAACAACAAGAUUGCAGAGGAGGUAAACGAGAACAGAAGAGACGAUGCACUUCAUAAUCAUUCUCAUUUCCAUACGGAAGUUAUCUAUUACCCUGAGCGUGAGCAUCGAACCAUUACGUUCCAUUUAAUUAACAAUGUGGCGGGCAAGCGUCAAUCUCGAAGCGCCUCGUGCAACCGAUGUAAACCACGCGUUAAAAUCAAUCAUCACUAGGCUCACCCGGUGAACAACGAUUAGCCUGCGGAUUAACCGCCAGGAUGGAGCUAGUGAACUUUAGAUCAAUCAUUAGAAAGGAGUUGCCUGGAUAUCUGGAACUGUCAAUUCCAAACUCUGGAGAUCUAACAAAUCUCGCUUCAUUUCCUCCGAUGGGUAGUAUAGAGUGAAUUAAGAGACCAAUAAGAAAUCAAUAUCACCGGGAGUAUCGUGGUAAACAACGGGGUCUGUGGACUGUGCGAAGCCAAUGGAAUGGUACUAGACGUUCUUAAUGCAUUUAACGUGGAAUGCAACUCUUACGUUCACUGGAUCGACCGGCGCGGCUCGUUUCGUCCGACGUUAACCGAGCUACAAUGCGAGCCGCUACAAUAUAAGCCUUUGAGCGGCGCAAAAAUGUGAGCGGUAACCGUGGGCGAUACGAUCGUCAUUUAAUAAUUUACGGCUGGGUGGUCUACUUACGGAUCAAGAUGAAAAUCCAUCAUCGCUUUUGCAAAAAAAAAAAAAAAAAAAAAAAGAUAGCUCACGCUCUCGAAGAGAACAGCGUAUCGAUCUCGGUUAAGGUAGCGAGGAUCAUUGGUCAGCGAUGAAGAAACGAAUUGCAACGCUCAUUGUACACGCUUGUUCGCAAGUUGAUUUUGAUAGGAGCGAUCGCAACACGCUUUGAAAGUUGCUCGAAGUACACAUCUGGCUUGAUCAAGUUUUGACCAAGGAGGGAUGCGUGAUUUACGAGCUUGUGAUUAUGAGGAAUUGCUAAUGGAACUGUCUGCAAACUCCUUCUUGUUACAAAAACAGAUUGGUCGUAAUGUGAAUUUAAUGAAUCGCGACGUGAUAAAAAAAUUUGGGCACAACCUGUAUCAAACUGGACAGCGAUUGUAAUCUAGUGAUGCUCGUCUGUGAUCAUAAUCUACACAAUCUGACAGGAGUUACCAUUCACUCCAGAGACACUGAAAUCACCUGAAUCCCAAAUUAUUCCACUCUCGGUGUUGAGCGUUAACCACUAGCGCUGGCAACUGAUUGCAGACCAUAACGAGCGACCGAACCGUAUACAAUAAUUCGUCGAGGACGCGAGAGGAAAAUAGGAAAAGUGGUCCAGGAAGCCUAAUCGCGACGACCGGGGCCCGGAUUACGCGGAACACGUCCAGCGGUACAGGUUUAACGGUAAAGGCGGAUAAACGGCUCAUCUGCGGUGUUCGUACGAUUCCUUAAACGAUGACGAAACGUCGGGAAUGUUUCGUGGUGCACCGCGUGCGCGCUGCACGGUCACGAUCAGGAAUGUCCUUUUGCGAGCUGACGUUCGCGUGCCUUCGAUCCACAUUCCGCAGUCCUGCCAAGAAUGCGCAUCGCCAGUUGUAAACGAUGCCCGUAGAAAAACCGCUACACGGCCCGACUUAAACAAAAGAGCGAGAAAGAGAGAGAGAGGGGCCUGGUGGAUGAAAAUAAUUACUAACGAAUUCGAAAUGCCCGAUCAUGACUGUUUUCACUCAGACGGCGCUAAUUCAACAGAACUGAUUUGAUUUCACUUGGAAUGAAGAUGUGAAGUCGCGGGACAAAGACAGUAGAUAGAUAAUUUAUAUACCUCCGCGGGAAAUGAUUGCGGAUGAAAUUUUCAUAAUUUUCUUUUUGUAGGAGAAAUUAUUUCCAAGAGCGCGCGUUUGAUUUAUAGUUUCAUAAACUUGAGAAGAAGCGGGGAGAGAGGAAUUGGAACGCGGAGUACCAUGGAAAGUAUAUUUUACAUUUAUGUGCUCAGAGACUACUGCAAGCGACUAAUCAUCGCGAGGGCAUCAGGUCCCACAUUAAUAGAGAUAUUUGGAUUCUGUUCGAUAAAGUAAAGCCUCGGUAAACGAGCGUAUCUUCCUUAUCAAUUUUAACGGCACGCUGUCCGCCAUAAUGCUCGAACACGCAGUAAGACCAGCAUCGUUCUCGUAUCGCAGCAUCGAAACACGGACUUUAUUACGAGACACGCACCGUGAAUACGAGAGAUCCGCGACUUCUCCGAGUCGUCGAUCCAUU